CAGCAGCCGCGGUAAUACGUAGGUCCCGAGCGUUGUCCGGAUUUAUUGGGCGUAAAGCGAGCGCAGGCGGUUAGAUAAGUCUGAAGUUAAAGGCUGUGGCUUAACCAUAGUACGCUUUGGAAACUGUUUAACUUGAGUGCAAGAGGGGAGAGUGGAAUUCCAUGUGUAGCGGUGAAAUGCGUAGAUAUAUGGAGGAACACCGGUGGCGAAAGCGGCUCUCUGGCUUGUAACUGACGCUGAGGCUCGAAAGCGUGGGGCGCAAACAGGAUUAGAGACCCCCGUAGUCCCUGUCUCUUAUACA
rnacentral:rRNA from 1 species